CUCCCUGUAGUACAACGGAUAGUACGCUUGCCUCCUAAGCGAGAAAUCCAGGUUCGAUUCCUGGCGGGGGGACCA
rnacentral:tRNA from 1 species